rnacentral:rRNA from 1 species
GAUGAACGCUGGCGGCGUGCCUAAUACAUGCAAGUCGAGCGAACAGAUGAGGAGCUUGCUCCUCUGACGUUAGCGGCGGACGGGUGGGUAACACGUGGAUAACCUACCUAUAAGACUGGGAUAACUUCGGGAAACCGGAGCUAAUACCGGAUAAUAUAUUGAACCGCAUGGUUCAAUAGUGAAAGACGGUUUUGCUGUCACUUAUAGAUGGAUCCGCGCCGCAUUAGCUAGUUGGUAAGGUAACGGCUUACCAAGGCAACGAUGCGUAGCCGACCUGAGAGGGUGAUCGGCCACACUGGAACUGAGACACGGUCCAGACUCCUACGGGAGGCAGCAGUAGGGAAUCUUCCGCAAUGGGCGAAAGCCUGACGGAGCAACGCCGCGUGAGUGACGAAGGUCUUCGGAUCGUAAAACUCUGUUAUUAGGGAAGAACAAAUGUGUAAGUAACUAUGCACGUCUUGACGGUACCUAAUCAGAAAGCCACGGCUAACUACGUG